AGUGAACGCUGGCGGUAGGCCUAACACAUGCAAGUCGAACGGCAGCACAGUAAGAGCUUGCUCUUACGGGUGGCGAGUGGCGGACGGGUGAGGAAUACAUCGGAAUCUACUUUUUCGUGGGGGAUAACGUCGGGAAACUUACGCUAAUACCGCAUACGACCUACGGGUGAAAGCAGGGGAUCUUCGGACCUUGCGUGAUUGAAUGAGCCGAUGUCGGAUUAGCUAGUUGGCGGGGUAAAGGCCCACCAAGGCGACGAUCCGUAGCUGGUCUGAGAGGAUGAUCAGCCACACUGGAACUGAGACACGGUCCAGACUCCUACGGGAGGCAGCAGUGGGGAAUAUUGGACAAUGGGCGCAAGCCUGAUCCAGCCAUACCGCGUGGGUGAAGAAGGCCUUCGGGUUGUAAAGCCCUUUUGUUGGGAAAGAAAAGCAGCAGGUUAAUACCCCGCUGUUCUGACGGUACCCAAAGAAUAAGCACCGGCUAACUUCGUG
rnacentral:rRNA from 1 species